UACAAUUCUUCAAAACUCAACUGAUUUCAUCGAAGCCUUCUCAAAACUGAAGAACUAUCCAGACAUCGAAACACAGAUAUUUGACAUACUAGAAAGAUUUGUUUGCUGCAUAUACGGACUUAAAAAGUUUACUGACGUCAACGAAGCCCGGCUUUCAAUUUUUGCCAAAUCCUUUAAAUGCAACGACAUUGAAGAGACGUUCAAAAUUAAAACAAAAAACUUUGAUGGCUCAAUUUUGCCACCCUGCAAGUCGGAGCUGCGCCAGCAAAUUUUGAGAUGUGCUUACAUCUCAAGUAUAUGGAGUAAUGCAUACCGCCAAAAUCCCACCGUCCUCUCUCCUUCUAACUGUGGAUGGCAAGAAAUAAGGGACAAAUUGGAGUUUAGGUGGUUUGAAGGUGACCAAUUACCAACUUCGGUCAGCGAAGUUUUGAUUAAGGAUCAUUCAAACAUUAAUGAUUCAGACGCAAAUAUCCAAAUUGACAACGAAGAAUAUGAUGAAGAAACUACCCACAACCAAGUCAGCACUAGCGAAGAUUCUGAUGAAGAAGAUAUUUCAUGUUUAAUGGAGUCAUUCAGAAGUGGCGAAGAUGUGCUGUCCAGCAUUUUUGACUAAAUUAUUAUCUUAUAACGUUUUGAAAACAAAUUAAAACCAAAACUAAAAG